UACGAAGGGGGCUAGCGUUGCUCGGAAUCACUGGGCGUAAAGCGCACGUAGGCGGAUUGCUAAGUCAGGGGUGAAAUCCUGGAGCUCAACUCCAGAACUGCCUUUGAUACUGGCGAUCUUGAGUCCGGGAGAGGUGAGUGGAACUGCGAGUGUAGAGGUGAAAUUCGUAGAUAUUCGCAAGAACACCAGUGGCGAAGGCGGCUCACUGGCCCGAUACCUGACGCUGAGGCACGAAAGCGU
rnacentral:rRNA from 1 species